CUGCCCAUAGCUCAGUUGGAUAGAGCAUCAGCCUUCUAAGCUGAGGGUCGCAGGUUCGAUUCCUGCUGGGCAGG
rfam:Duganella sp. Leaf126 contig_11, whole genome shotgun sequence.